AUGAACGCUGGCGGCGUGCUUAACACAUGCAAGUCGAACGGAAAGGCCCAAGCUUGCUUGGGUACUCGAGUGGCGAACGGGUGAGUAACACGUGGGUGAUCUGCCCUGCACUUCGGGAUAAGCCUGGGAAACUGGGUCUAAUACCGGAUAGGACGAUGGUUUGGAUGCCAUUGUGGAAAGUUUUUUCGGUGUGGGAUGAGCUCGCGGCCUAUCAGCUUGUUGGUGGGGUAAUGGCCUACCAAGGCGUCGACGGGUAGCCGGCCUGAGAGGGUGUACGGCCACAUUGGGACUGAGAUACGGCCCAGACUCCUACGGGAGGCAGCAGGGGGGAAGAUUGCACAAGGGGCGCAAGCCUGAUGCAGCGACGCCGCGGGGGGGAUGACGGCCUUCGGGUUGGAAACUCCUUUCGCUAGGGACGAAGCGUUUUGUGACGGUACCUGGAGAAGAAGCACCGGCUAACUACGUG
rnacentral:rRNA from 1 species